AUUGAACGCUGGCGGCAGGCCUAACACAUGCAAGUCGAGCGGAUGAAGGGAGCUUGCUCCUGGAUUCAGCGGCGGACGGGUGAGUAAUGCCUAGGAAUCUGCCUUGUAGUGGGGGAUAACGUCCGGAAACGGGCGCUAAUACCGCAUACGUCCUGAGGGAGAAAGUGGGGGAUCUUCGGACCUCCCGCUAUCAGAUGAGCCUAGGUCGGAUUAGCUAGUUGGUGGGGUAAAGGCCUACCAAGGCGACGAUCCGUAACUGGUCUGAGAGGAUGAUCAGUCACACUGGAACUGAGACACGGUCCAGACUCCUACGGGAGGCAGCAGUGGGGAAUAUUGGACAAUGGGCGAAAGCCUGAUCCAGCCAUGCCGCGUGUGUGAAGAAGGUCUUCGGAUUGUAAAGCACUUUAAGUUGGGAGGAAGGGCAGUAAGUUAAUACCUUGCUGUUUUGACGUUACCAACAGAAUAAGCACCGGCUAACUUCGUG
rnacentral:rRNA from 1 species